CUCACUUUGGUAUUUGGUUCUCUCUUUUGCUUUUUUAUUUUUUAUUUUUUUUUCUCUAAUUAAGUGGAUCUCUUCUGAUCAACGUUUCUGUAAAGGUGUUCCUUUGAGGGAAUCUUAAAUAGAGAAAAUCACUUCAAAAUUCUAAUCGUAAAGAACCUUGCAAAAACAUCUAGAAUAACCUACUAUUGCCUGUAAUUAAUUUUCCUUAAGCUACAGUACUACGCACUUCUCUAUCUGCAGUUACAAAUUUUGUGUAUAAAAGAGAAGCAAGCUCCUAAUUUCUUUGAUUUGUACGCAACCAGCGCCAGAAAAAAAUACACGUACACUAUUCGGAGCCCUAGCUCCAGCGCAAGCAGGAGGCCAGGAAUAACUUAACCCUAUUCGGCAGGAACACAUGGACGAAGGAGAAGUACCCUUCCCUACAGAUGUAUACAAAGAGCGCCCGCGCCCGCCUGAGCGCCCAUGUGGCUGCUCCAUAUUGUAAGUACUCAAGCACUUGAGAUCGAUCUAAUGGUGGAUGUGACGUCGUAGCUGUUGUUGUACUAGAGGCGGUUAUAUAUGUCGUCAUGUUUGUUUUAUGGAAAAUAAAAUGUAAAAGUAUUUGUAAAAACUCUGUUUGCUGCUGCAUGUAUUAAGACUUCUGAUGCCAAGAAGAUGCAGAGAGAGUAGAAAACUUGUAUUCCUCAAAGUUAUGUUUAUAUGAAAUAAGAGUGUUGCUUUUAUAUCAA